rnacentral:lncRNA from 1 species
ACCUCGGCUCAGGUUGAGAACCUCAGCUCAGGUUGAGGAACCUCUUCAGCUCAGGUUGAGAACUUCAGCUCAGGUUGAGGACCUCAGCUCAGGUUGAGAACUUCAGCUCAGGUUGAGGACCUCAGCUCAGGUUGAGAACUUCAGCUCAGGUUGAGGACCUCAGCUCAGGUUGAGAACCUCAGCUCAGGUUGAGGAACCUCUUCAGCUCAGGUUGAGAACCUCAGCUCAGGUUGAGGAACGUCUUCAGCUCAGGUUGAGAACUUCAGCUCAGGUUGAGGACCUCAGCUCAGGUUGAGAACUUCAGCUCAGGUUGAGGACCUCAGCUCAGGUUGAGGAACCCCUUCAGCUCAGGUUGAGGAACCUCGGCUCAGGUUGACAGCUGUUCUCUGGCCCCGCCAGCGUGUCCCAGCGUAGUGCAGUGCAGGGUCUUGUCCGUGAAGGACUCUCCAGGUGGACAAAACCAGCACAGGAAACGGACAAUCCCUGUGGUCUCCACGAGAAUGCUGUCAAACGUCAGAACUGUUUUCAUCCCACACACGUUUGUGAUCUGGAAGGGAAGUUUUGGUAAUAACCGGAAGCUCCAGGCUUGGUCUGAACACUGUAAAGUGGGGAGAACUAAGUUUCAAACAGGAAUCAUCGGCACCUGGGAUUCUCCAUGAAACCGAGCCCGAAGCAGAGGUUGAUGUGGAAGUUACCAUUCGCUUUCCUGGGGACACGGGUGGGGAACAGGUGAGAGG